rnacentral:tRNA from 1 species
CAAAAAAUAGUUUAAAAAAAAUAAUAAUUUUGGAGAUUAUAGAUAAAGGAUAUUCUUUUUUUUUGA